rnacentral:rRNA from 1 species
UACGUAGGGGGCAAGCGUUGUCCGGAAUCAUUGGGCGUAAAGAGCGCGUAGGCGGUCCGAUAAGUCGGCUGUGAAAGUCAGGGGCUCAACCCCUGGAUGCCGGCCGAUACUGUCGGGCUAGAGUCCGGAAGAGGCGAGUGGAAUUCCUGGUGUAGCGGUGGAAUGCGCAGAUAUCAGGAGGAACACCAAUAGCGAAGGCAGCUCGCUGGGACGGUAUUGACGCUAAGGCGCGAAAGCGUGGGGAGCAAACAGG